rnacentral:tRNA from 1 species
UCCUGGUGGUAGUCUAGGUGGUUAGGAUACUCGUCUCUCACCCGAGAGACCCGGGUUCAAGUCCCGGCGACGGAA